GCCAGCUGAAUGUACCCUUGUUUAAAUUAAAUGUGGCUUUACAGUGACCCAGGCCAGGGUCACUCUGCACAAAACCCUUGAGAAUGCACAGCCCACGUACAGGGAAUUAGUGAGCAGAUACAAAUCAUGGUCUGUGAAUUACUGAACAAUGAGAAUGUCCUUGGAACCCCCAUCUAUAAUGGAUGAAGGAAACAACAGCUCCAAUAACAGAAGGAACUGGGAGGAGGAGGAAUGAGAGUGCUUGGCAUAAUGGGAAACAGCUUUGAGGAAACCAAGGAGCUUCUGUCCCACUUCCUUGUUCUCUUCUGAACAACUCUUAUGCUAGCCAACACAGAAAAAGAAAAGUGAAAGAAAAUCCCUUCUCCCUGCAGACUACAGAUGUAGGACUCACAAAAUCCAACUGGCUAGACACAGUCAAAACUGGAUGUCUGCAGAGCUCAGCUACUCUGAAACUCUCCUCUCCUGGAGCUGAUUUGUACCUUGGCUACUGAUUCCUGAUUCCAGCUGCUUCACCUGCUCCUGCAAGUCACCCUCCUGGCUGGACUGCUGGGCCAGGCUGUCUAAGGCACCUGCAUGCAUGACAUAAAUGGGACUGUCUCAGAGAGAAAACUUGCUACUGCAGGCCCCUCAAGCUCCUUUACAAAGCUCCCUUGGUUUCCAUUUCUCCCUUUGAGACACUGCUCCAGAAUCUCACUCCAGUGGUUGAAAAUCUAAUUUCCAGACUAAGUUUAUUAAUAGCAAAUUUGUACCACUUAGUCCUUGU